GGGCCAUAGCUCAGCUGGGAGAGCGCCUGCCUUGCACGCAGGAGGUCAGCGGUUCGAUCCCGCUUGGCUC
rnacentral:tRNA from 1 species